rnacentral:sRNA from 1 species
AGCGGCAGGGCAGCCCCUGCUUGGGGUAGCGGGAGGGUAGAUUCUGGGCGCCACUCCCGGGCCGGUCAUGAACGGGCCGGCGGACGGCGAAGUGGACUACAAAAAAAAAUACCGGAAUCUGAAGCGGAAGCUCAAGUUCCUCAUCUACGUGAGUGCUGCGCGGGAAGGCUGUGGGGGGUGAGGCCUGGCGCGGACAAGAUCGCAGUUUACCCAGGUGUAAAGUGGGUGGGGCGAGCGGCCGCUGGUUCCGGGGCCCUUCACGGAGGACCGUUGGCCCAGCGCACCCCUUGCCCGUGAUACAGGAGCACGAGUGCUUCCAGGAGGAGCUGAGGAAAGCUCAAAGGAAAUUACUGAAGGUGUCCCGGGACAAGAGUUUCCUCCUAGACCGACUUCUGCAGUACGAGAACGUGGAUGAAGACUCUUCGGACUCAGAUGCCACUGCAUCAUCAGAUAACAGCGAGACAGAGGGGACACCCAAGUU